ACUCUUGACACUAGCAGGCCUCCUUCUGUCACUUCUAGUAAUGAUUCAUCUAAUUCCCAGAAAUCAUUUGUGUUUAACAACUCUAUGAUUUCUGGGCGCAAAUCUAAACCACUUCUCCCCCUCCCAAAACCCCUAGUAGGAAGAAGCUAAUGCUUAACUCGGAUAAACAUCCAAGGCAAAAGCACACAAAAACCUCUAAAUGCUCUAUUAGCACUCAGGUUGUGAAUGAGCAAGUGAACAAUGCGACCCAAACUCAGAGUCACACCCCUUGUUCUAUUUCCCGGGCAACAGACCCAAUUCCAUCUGUUGUCAUAAAAAUACAUCCACUUCCCAGGCAACUGAUCCCAUUCCAGUUGCCCAUUUCAUCAGCUCUGCCAGCACCCAGUGUGCCAGUGAGCUAGUGAACAUGAGACUCAAACGCAGAGUCACACCUUCAUUUCCCGGCAACAGAUCCAAUUUUCCUGUUGUCCUCAAACCUACUUCUACCUCCCGGGCCACUGAUCCUAUUCCGGUUACCCAUUUCAGCUGCUCUAUUAGCACACAAAUUGCGAACGAGCUAGUAAAUAAUGCAACUCAGACACAGAGUCGCAACUACACUUCCGGGCAACAGACCCAAUUUCUCCUGUUGUCCAUAACAAAAGUUCAAAUACUUUUACUGAACCCCUUUCCAAGGCUGAUGACCCUAAAAUUUCGGUCUCUUCCUCUACACUCCCUUCUGAACACCUCUUGGGCAAGACAACUGAUUCUGGGUUUCUCUAUGAUCCGCACGAUGACGUCUGCUCUGAGAUGUCAGAAGAGGAAAUGCUAAUGCCUGAUGACCCCCGAUUAAUCGCGCUUCUAGCUGAAGACGAGGAACCAGGGGUUGAUCUGCAAACUGUAUCCCCUGAAACGGAGGAUUCUCAUGAUUCUUCCUCCGUUUUCGAUGAUUUCUCAGAUAUUUAUCAGAUUAAGGACAUCAUAUACUCAAUAAAGACGAUAAAAGAACUGCACCACCACAAACCUUUAUUAAGAUAUUCAGACUCUAACAGUCUAUUCGAGGCUAUAGAUGCCGAUUUCCGGCACGAUAGUGCAAUCGAAACAGCCGAACGAAACCUCUAUUUACUUAGGUGUGUAUAUGCGCUUGAUGAUGCUACACCAGAUAAGUCAAUUUAUAAAGAGGUCCUCCAAAGAAAACUGGAGCUUUCGCAAUUCUCUUACCUAUUUCCUCACCCACUCAAAAUAGGCAACACACCUUCUUGUUAUCAAGUCCCUACUACUGCCGAUUCAAAUCCUAGUAGUAGUGUCCCUAACGAAUCAAUUAAACCUCCACUGCCUUCAAUUAAACCAAAUAGGAAAAAGGCUAGGAAAAAGAAGAGAUAGUCAAAUUUCCUAAACACUCCCAAUAAAUUUGACCCUAAACCCCCUCCAAUUACUAUGUGAUUGGCUACUCUAUUGAGCUCUACGCAGCUCCGCCCUUAUUCUAUUUCUAUACUCUGUGCUCUUCAUGUAUAUUUAGUUAUAUUACUUGGUCCCUGUGUGGAUCAAGAAUUCUUCUUUAUUCCAUUUCAUAUCGAUCCUUAGUUAUAAUUAUCGUAUAUGUUUAUGUAUCCUAUCCUAUGUAUAGACUCAAUGUAAACUCUAAUCUAUAUAUAGUCAAAUUUACAUGUUCCCUUGUGGAGCAUGAUCCCUUAUUUACUUUUUCUCUAUUUUACAUUUCGAUUUCUGAUUAUUAUUUGUCGUAUUUGUAAUUAUUCACUGCUUCCUUCAAUAAAAAUUUCUGUGGGGGGAGCACUUAAGGUUAAGUCCGCCAACAAUGUUGGCAAAAUUAUAAUUAUUUUGAUGGUUUGCAACACCUAGACGUUGAGUUGUCUCCGUUGCCUUUACAUGACCGAAUGGCAUGUGGGUUUAUAACAAUUUAAGUGCUCUCCUCACGGAGUCUAAUUGCCAAAUGCCUCGCCAUCUAAUUAGUGACGCGCAUGAAUGGAUUAACGAGAUUCCCACUGUCCCUAUCUACUAUCUAGCGAAACCGCAGCCAAGGAACGGACUUGGAAAGAUCAGCGGGGAAAGAAGACCCUGUUGAGUUUGACUCUAGUCUCUUAUUGUGGCGGAGCAUCUUGGGCGUAGAAUAGGGAGGAGAUACUUUGUAUCGCCGGUGAAAUACUCCUACUAAGAUCGCUCCUCUGCUUACUCGGUUAAGCAGGGUUAUCUUGAUUUCAAGAUAUUUUCUUGUCUCAAUCGUUGAGCCUUUGGUUCUUCGAGACCUGCUCCGAGGACAUUGCGAGGCGGGGAGUUUGACUGGGGCGGUACAUCUACCAAACAAUAACGUAGGUGUCCUAAGGCCAGCUCAGUGAGGACGGAAACCUCACGUAGAGCAAAAGGGCAAAUGCUGGCUUGACCUCUCCCUUCGGUACGGGGCGAGGAGCAGAAAUGUCGGCCUAUCGAUCCUCUUUAUUUAAGAGCUUUAAGAAAGAGGUGCCAGAAAAAUUACCACAGGGAUAACUGGCUUUUGGCAGCCAAGCGUUCAUAGCGACGUCGCUUUUUGAUCCUUCGAUGUCGGCUCUUCCUAUCAUUGCGAAGCAGAAUUCGCCAAGCGUCGGAUUGUUCACCCGCUAAUAGGGAACGUGAGCUGAGUUUAGACCGUCGUGAGACAGGUUAGUUUUACCCUACUGAUGACUCGUCGUUGCGAUAGUAAUCCUGCUCAGUACGAGAGGAACAGCAGGUUCGGACAUUUGGUACACGUACUUGACUGAUCAGUCAGUGGUGCGAAGCUACCAUCCGCCGGAUUAUGCCUGAACGCCUCUAAGGCAGAAUCCGUUCUAGACAUGGCAAUGAUAUUGUUGGAUUAGUAUCUUUGCAUGGAGGAAACUUAACAUCUUUAUUGAUGUUUAUUUGAAUCCCUUCUUAAUGGGAGGUUUGGUUGAUGUGAUCAUGUAUUGCGUUAGCUUCUCCCUGUCAAGAUAAUGCGAUGUGCUAAUCCCAAAUCGUCUGUAGACGACUUAUGUACCGGCCGGGGUGUCGUACUUGGUAGAGCAGCUACCACACUGCGAUCUAUUGAGACUCAGCCCUUUUGACUGGAUGAUUUGUCUUGAAGGAUAGAUAAGUCAUCUUGUUGAAGGGGCUGCGGUUGAAAGCAAGCGGCGGCGUUUGUUUUCUUUAUCUAAAGCUAAAGAAACAAAGUUUCAAAGUGUUGUUUUCGUUUGUUUGCGGCGGCGGGGGACAGUUGUUUGUUGAGUUGUUGUUGUUGUUGUCUGUCUCUCGGUUGAAAAGAAAUGAUGUAUUUUUGCGUCGUUGUUUUUCAAGACUUUUUGAUGUUGAGAAUGUUGUUCAUUUUUGUCCUUUUUUUAAAGUUCAAAAGUGAUGUGUCUUGAAAAACAACGACGCAAAAAUUAAUAUAUAUUUUUAUUGAUGAACAUUAAGAAAAUCAUAAUGUUAAUUAAAUGAUACUUGAGAUUUAAAGCAAAAUGUUAAGUCGUUAAUAAACACUUUUUUUACAUUUUUUGUUCUUCAAAACUUUAACAAAAACCAAAUGUUAGAAUCCUUUGAAAAAAAAGUUAAAAAUAUUUUUUCUUUAAAGAAAGAAACAUUAAUUUAUUUCUCAAACAGAGAAAGAAAAAAAAUAUAUCUUUCUUAAAAGAAAAAACACAUCACUUUUGAACUUGAAGUGAAAGCCCUUUCUAACUUGUUGCUUUCUAAAGUGAAAGUACUUUCCAACCUUCUAUUUUGGUACGGUAACGUUUUUAGAAAGCCGUUAACGUUUUUAGAAAACAGUUCCAUUUUUCGGCCAUUAGCCCAUUGCUGCCUUCUUUCUAAUUCCUCCAGUGGUCUGUUCUUUCCCUCUCUCUCUUUCACUAACAGAGGUUAAAGUUGACCACCUGGUAUUGUGGACACUCUUGUGGAGAUUCCGGAGACCCAAUCCCCGUCUCCACUUCAAGUUUACCCUUCUCAAACCCCUGGACGAUACUCUCCCCGUCUCAUCUAUUAAACUUUGUAAAAGACCAAACUUUGAAUUUAUUUCAGAUUCUACACAUCUACCGUUCCUUGCACCCUCCAUCCACCCAGUGUAUCACGUGUGCAGUGUCUAGUAGUGUUUUCAUUUGCAGAUCUUCUCAAACAUGACUGGAAAACACCCCCUCGCCUCAUAUCAGAGGCAAAUCGACAAGGUAUGCGCAAUAUGCGCGGCUGCCUUUACCCAUCCCCAAUCUCUUUACCAACAUAUCUCCCUCACACACUCCCUGGAGCUGGCUUCGUUUAAGACCCAGUAUCCUCAUAGGUACAAGGCUCGCCCUACCUACUCCAGUGACGACUAUAGGAAGAUAAAAUCGCUGGAACUACUCCUGGCAAAACGCAUGCCUGCUGAAUCCCAAACAUACAUGAACUGCUGGCUUGCCCAGCUCACAGUUCACACCGCAGACGCCUUGAAGGCGAUGCGGAAUGGUGAACCUUACAAGAGAGUCAGCGCUCAAAUCGCAACCCCAACUCCUAGGUUACUAACGGAGAUAUCCAAACUCAAGAAUGCAGCCAACUGGACCCUAGAGGAAACGGCUGCCCUUGCCCAUGCUGAGCUAGAGGUUGCCUCACCGCUGAGCAUGGACGAGGACCUUCUUAUUGACCACCUAGUGCAGCGAUUUUCCUACGUCCUGCACUCUCAAUUAAGAAGAAGAGAAAAUCCGAAGCCUACAAGAAUAAAAUUGAGGACAUCAGGAAGCUAAAGACAAUGGCUUCCACGGUGACGGCUGGCCGUCAUAGUCUCCGUCCUUCAAACUCUUACCAAUAGCGACGAAAGGGCAGCGAGUCUGUCACCCAUCCUCGAAGAAAAUCGCAACGCGUUUCGAGGAGGUUGACGUUGGCUCCCGGUCUAUCUUUACUAAACCGCGAAUGAUUGAACCACAAGAUGAAACACCAUUCGCUUCCCCUGCAGUCCCUGUUCCCCGUCAGCUGGACAUGGACGCAACCCACUCUACUCGGAGGCCUUGCCCCAAAUCAAGCGGAAAUCCUCCUGCGAGUGUCUUCCAGAGACGCCUCUCUCCAACUUCUGCGGCAACCCAUUACACCGCCCAUGGUUGAAACCCGAAGCCCAUCGCCCAGUCCGUCAUGCUCUAGGAGGCUGAUUGCGCCACCCAAUGAAGCCAACGACGAGACUGAUGAGGGCGCCUUCCUACCGGCCUUGACGCCGGCCAACAAUCCCCUCGAGCCAAAGAAACGCCCCAGAGAUAGUGAAUCCUCUGGGCGUUCAAUGAGCUCCAUAAAAAGGUGGGCUAGACCCUCACCUCCUCCUCCUCCUCGGGCGAGGAGUUCAUCACGGCUUCUGCUCCCCCAGCCCUAACCCGUCUCGGAGUAACAGAGCUAAACUAAACAAUGUGGAGCCGAAUUCCGUCACUCCAAAACCACGGCACCAACCUCCCUCUCCCAUGGUACCGGUCCCGUCUCCUGAGGCGGUCGAUGCCGGUUCCCAUGAUUGUUGGCUCUCCAACAGCUCCCUCACCACCAACCCCUAAUGCUGCCUCCCCGAGUCCCGGUACGCCAGUCCGGGCACCGGGCAGUGGGAUGGUAGAGACACUAAAUGCUUCAGCUGCACCUCUUCCGGCCCAAAGUGCAACACUGCUUCCGGAUGAGCCGGUACCUAUAGCCAUAAGCUCACCCACUCCAUCCUCACCGCCAACCCCUGAGGUAAGAAGUGGCCCAAUCCCAUGUCCGGCAACGCUCCCACCUCCCAAAGUGGUCGAGCCAACACCUGGACCCUCCACUCAAUUCAUCCAACCACCGGAUUAUUCU